GGCUUCUAGAAUGGGACUCAAGAUGGCAACAGAAGUUAGAAUGUAUCUGAGAAAGAACUAGAAGCCUCUGAGACUUUGUCUUCUUACUUGGCAGCUAAAAGGACAGUGAAGAGUCACAGAGAAUGGUUGGCAGCAGAGGCUGUGGAGUCUAUGAAGGACAUUUAAAGAGUAUGAAGACUAGUGAUCCUCUUCCUUAUUUCACGAUUCCUAUGCAGUAGCUCUGGGUUUGGGAGGACAAUCCAUGGGAACAGCUCACUCUGAAGAGAGGAUCCCAAGUAUAUGAAUACUGGGCUAAAGAACACUCACCACACAUCCUGAGGAGUCUACCUGGCGGUCAGACACACACUUGAAGUUACGGGUACAGCCCCCAUUGUUCCUUGAGCAGUCACGGACUGGACCAAAGGAAGACAGCAGGACUCACAAGACCAAGGACAGUUCCUGCCAAGAUCCAAGGGUGAGCCCUGAAGUUCACAGGGGUGAAAGGAGAGAGUAAGGUGGACUACUGAAAAUUGUCCUGACUUCCUCAUGCAUGCAG